ACGGGGGGCCUACCAUGCAGUCGAGCGGGAGAGAGAAGCUUGCUUCUCUUGAGAGCGGCGGACGGGUGAGUAAUGCCUAGGAAUCUGCCUGGUAGUGGGGGAUAGCGUUCGGAAACGGACGCUAAUACCGCAUACCUCCUACGGGAGAAAGCAGGGGACCUUCGGGCCUUGCGCUAUCGGAUGAGCCUAGGUCGGAUUAGCUAGUUGGUGAGGUAAUGGCUCACCAAGGCGACGAUCCGUAACUGGUCUGAGAGGAUGAUCAGUCACACUGGAACUGAGACACGGUCCAGACUCCUACAGGAGGCAGCAGUGGGGAAUAUUGGACAAUGGGCGAAAGCCUGAUCCACCCAUGCCGCGUGUGUGAAGAAGGUCUUCGGAUUGUAAAGCACUUUAAGUUGGGAGGAAGGGUUGUAAAUUAAUACUCUGCUAUUUUGACGUUACCGACAGAAUAAGCACCGGCUAACUCUGUGCCAGCAGCCGCGGUAAUACAGAGGGUGCAAGCGUUAAUCGGAAUUACUGGGCGUAAAGCGCGCGUAGGUGGUUUGUUAAGUUGGAUGUGAAAUCCCCGGGCUCAACCUGGGAACUGCAUUCAAAACUGACUGACUAGAGUAUGGUAGAGGGUGGUGGAAUUUCCUGUGUAGCGGUGAAAUGCGUAGAUAUAGGAAGGAACACCAGUGGCGAAGGCGACCACCUGGACUAAUACUGACACUGAGGUGCGAAAGCGUGGGGAGCAAACGAGAUUAGAUACCCUGGUAGUCCACGCCGUAAACGAUGUCAACUAGCCGUUGGAAGCCUUGAGCUUUUAGUGGCGCAGCUAACGCAUUAAGUUGACCGCCUGGGGAGUACGGCCGCAAGGUUAAAACUCAGAUGAAUUGACGGAGGCCCGCACGAGCGCUGGAGCAUGUGGAUUAAGUGCGUAACAAUCGCUAGAACCCUUACCAGCCUUGACGAUCCUAAUGCAUCGUUUCUAGACGAUACAUAGAUGCAUCGGGACAUCGAGAACAUGUGACUGCAUGGCUGCAUCAGCUCGGUCCUUGAGAUGCUGGAAUUAGGUGCCGUUACGAGCGCCACCAUGUACCUAGUACUGACUUCAUGCUGAAUGUCUGAGGAACUACAUGCGAGUGACACAUCACCGCUGACAGAAACCGU
rnacentral:rRNA from 1 species